UACGAAGGGUGCAAACGUUGCUCGGAAUUAUUGGGCGUAAAGCGCACGUAGGCGGCUUUGCAAGUCGGAUGUGAAAUCCCUCGGCUUAACCAAGGAAGUGCAUCCGAAACUGCAGAGCUUGAGUACUUAAGAGGAUCGCGGAAUUCCCGGUGUAGAGGUGACAUUCGUAGAUAUCGGGAGGAACACCAGUGGCGAAGGCGGCGAUCUGGGAAGAUACUGACGCUGAGGUGCGAAAGCGUGGGGAGCAAACAGG
rnacentral:rRNA from 1 species